GACGAACGCUGGCGGCGUGCUUAACACAUGCAAGUCGAACGGAAAGGCCCUGCUUUUGUGGGGUGCUCGAGUGGCGAACGGGUGAGUAACACGUGAGUAACCUGCCCUUGACUUUGGGAUAACUUCAGGAGACUGGGGCUAAUACCGGAUAGGAGCUCCUGCUGCAUGGUGGGGGUUGGAAAGUUUCGGCGGUUGGGGAUGGACUCGCGGCUUAUCAGCUUGUUGGUGGGGUAGUGGCUUACCAAGGCUUUGACGGGUAGCCGGCCUGAGAGGGUGACCGGACACAUUGGGACUGAGAUACGGCCCAGACUCCUACGGGAGGCAGCAGUGGGGAAUAUUGCACAAUGGGCGGAAGCCUGAUGCAGCAACGCCGCGUGCGGGAUGACGGCCUUCGGGUUGUAAACCGCUUUCGCCUGUGACGAAGCGUGAGUGACGGUAAUGGGUAAAGAAGCACCGGCUAACUACGUG
rnacentral:rRNA from 1 species